AAAGUUUUGGUCCUAAACUUGCCGUUGUUUUUUACCAAAAUUAUACAUGCAAGCCUCCACAAACCAGUGAGAAUGCCCACACACCCCAAACAGCUAACCGGAGCAGGCAUCAGGAUACAACCCUUUUGGCCUAACACGCCUUGCUUACGCCACACCCACACGGGUUUUCAGCAGUAACUAACAUUAAAAAUGAGCGAAAGCUCGAUCUAGUUAUGGUAAACACGGUCGGUAAAUUUCGUGCCAGCCACCGCGGUUAUACGAAAGACUAAAAACAACGACUUCCGGCGUAAAGCGUGACUGGGGGAACAAUUAAAACUUUAGAGGGAAACUAACACUAAGUCGUAAAACACUCUUGUACCCAGAACAACAACCAUGCCUCUAACACCCUCCCAUCUCACGAAAGCUAAGAAACAAACUGGGAUUAGAUACCCCACUAUGCUCAGCCCUAAACAACGAUCUUACUCACACAAUAUUUUCCGCCAGAGAACUACAAGCGAAAAGCUAAAAACUCCAAGGACUUGGCGGUGCUUCAAACCAACCUAGAGGAGCCUGUCCUAUAAUCGAUACCCCCCGCUCAACCUUACCACCUUUAGCCAACCAGUCUAUAUACCGCCGUCGUCAGCCUACCUUAUGAAAGAAAUAAAGUAAGCAAAACAGUUAAUAACUAACAAGUCAGGUCAAGGUGUAGCACAUGAGGUGGCAGAGAUGGGCUACAUUUUCCUACAUGAACACACGUACAACUUGUUGAAAAACAUGUUUUAAGGUGGAUUUAGCAGUAAAAUAAGUAAGAAAACUUAUCUUAAACCCGCUCUGAAGCGCGUACACACCGCCCGUCACCCUCAUCACACAACCCACUAUAAAACAUAUUAAUAACACCUUGUUUAGAUGAGGCAAGUCGUAACAUGGUAAGCGCACUGGAAAGUGUGCUUGGAAU
rnacentral:ncRNA from 1 species